rnacentral:tRNA from 1 species
UGAGGUGUGGCUCAGUUGGUAGAGUGCUUGUCCAGCAUGCAGUAAGCCUGGGUUCAUUCCCAGCACAUAAA